rnacentral:lncRNA from 1 species
CAAGGAGGCAACAUUAGCUCUGUAGGAAGAUGCUUACCUCUACGGCUUGUCUUCUGCAAGUUCAGAUCUAAAAGACUCUUCUUAGAGCAGAUCAGCAAAAGGACGAGGGCGACAGUCAGAGGUUGCAGCAAGGCAGAUUCUAGUUGGAUAUAUGGGGGGGAAAAAAAAGCUCACGAUGUGAGUGAGCAAGUGCUGGAACAGGGGCCCGGAGAGCCUGUGUAAUCCCUUUUCUUGGAGACAUGGUAACUUCCACUGGGCAAGGGCCUGAGCAACCUGAUCUGACUUUGCAGUUAGCUCCCCAUGGACCAGGGUGGCCAGAUUAGAUGAAAUCCCUCCAGAAAUCCCUUCCAAACUCAAUUAGUCAGUGAUGAUGAGCACCUGUUUCUAAAACAAUAUAAGCAGAGUGAUGGUCUGGUGUUAGUGAACGGUUGGGCGCUGGACUGCACAGGCAGCCUGCCACAAGAGGGAGCGGAUGCUGGACGCGCAGCACUGCACGCCCCGGGCGCAUGGGCCCCCAGGCGGGCGGCCACAGACGGAAAGCUCUCGCAGACCUUAUCCCCGCGCAAGGGGCAACCACCGCCUUGCUGCCAAGUGUGCAGCCCGCGACGUCUGAGCUGAGGAAACGCAGACCAUUCCUUCAGCGCUGCUCUGAUGCCAGGCGGAUCCGGUGCCAGGCUCGAGCCAUUGCAUCCAACACAGUGGAACGUGGAUUUUGUCUCUGCUGCAUUUUCCUAACAAGGUGCCGUGAUCAGAAGAAAUUCAGAAGAAGUGCUUUCUGUCUCUUCGCUUUGAAAAAAGGAAAGCGGCCCCGUGAGGCUUGAGGAAGAGGAGAUCUGYGUGUUAUCGAAGGAGCCAGCUGAGCCCUCGGGUUACACACUCCCAGCUAGCUGCUCUGCCAAGGUCAGCACUUCUAAGCUGGAGGUGGUUUGGCCUGAUAAUGUGUGGUCUGACACAGUGCUAUUGAAGUAGUUGUCAGGCUCUUUUGGUCUGUUUUGUGUUUAGGAAAUUAUGCCGUAAAGUGUAUCUGUCUUGAAGUUACAAGAAUUUCAGAGACUUAAGAUUUCUGAGAAAAUAGUUCUCAUCAGUGGUCAUUAGGUUAUAAGACACAUAGCAUUAGUGAGAGCUCCCAUUUAAUUCAUAAUUACUGGAUUCAGUAGUCUGAAUUUGUCAAAAAGCCUUAAAAAGCUGCAGACAGAAAAAAACAACAGUGAAGGAAAGAAUGGGAACCUGACYGGAAAGAAAUUCAGUAACUGUUGGUUUUUUUUAAGGGAAGUUUUGAGCAAUCUUUCUCGACUGGCAAUAUGACGUUAUGUUACAUAUAAAAAAUUUGCUGUCUACGUGCAUGGUGGAC